UGAACGCUGGCGGUAUGCUUAACACAUGCAAGUCGAACGGUAGCAGGAGAAGCUUGCUUCUUGCUGACGAGUGGCGGACGGGUGAGUAACGCGUAGGAAUCUGCCCAAAAGUGGGGGACAACGUGGGGAAACCCACGCUAAUACCGCAUAAGCCCCACGGGGUAAAGCAGGGGAUCUUCGGACCUUGCGCUUUUGGAUGAGCCUGCGUUGGAUUAGCUAGUUGGUGAGGUAAAGGCUCACCAAGGCGACGAUCCAUAGCUGUUCUGAGAGGAAGAUCAGCCACACUGGGACUGAGACACGGCCCAGACUCCUACGGGAGGCAGCAGUGGGGAAUAUUGGACAAUGGGCGCAAGCCUGAUCCAGCAAUACCGCGUGUGUGAAGAAGGCCUGCGGGUUGUAAAGCACUUUCAAUUGGGAAGAAAAGGGGGUGGAUAAUACCCAUCCUCCUUGACGUUACCUUUAGAAGAAGCACCGGCUAACCCU
rnacentral:rRNA from 1 species